rnacentral:tRNA from 1 species
AAAGUUGAAAUAAAAUAUUAUAUUCAGUUUCGACCUGAAAUUUAAGUUACUAAGUUAACUCUUCUUUA